rnacentral:rRNA from 1 species
GAUGAACGCUGGCGGCGUGCCUAAUACAUGCAAGUCGAGCGAACAGACGAGGAGCUUGCUCCCCUGCCGUUAGCGGCGGACGGGUGAGUAACAAGUGGAUCACCUACUUAUUUGACUGGGGUAACUUCGGGAAAACGGAGCCAAUACCGGCUAAUAUAUUGAACCGCAUGAUUCAAUAGUGAAAGACGGUUUUGCUGUCAGUUUUAGACGGAUCCGGGCCGCCUUAGCUGGUUGGUAAGGUAACGGCUUACCAAGGCAACGAUGCGUAUCCGACCUGAGAGGGUGAUCAGCCACACUGGAACUGAGACACGGUCCAGACUCCUACGGGAGGCAGCAGUAGGGAAUCUUCCGCAAUGGGCGAAAGCCUGACGGAGCAACGCCGCGUGAGUGAUGAAGGUCUUCGGAUCGUAAAACUCUGUUAUUAGGGAAGAACAAAUGUGUAAGUAACUAUGCACGUCUUGACGGUACCUAAUCAGAAAGCCACGGCUAACUACGUG